CUCUCCUCCAAUCACACAGAACUGAGAAGAAGGACGGGAAAGGGAGGAAAUAUGUCUAAGAGGUUCCAAAAAAGAAAAAAAGAAAGAAAACAAAAAUGCAUCAAUGGGCACUCGCAGAUGACAAACAAUGACAGCAACUGUGCUGCAGAGGGAAUCUUGCAAGGUUUGAAGAGCUCGGAGACACCAGCGACCCCGGGACACAUCAGCGACACCCCAGCUCGGGCCAAGCACACAGCGGAUGGCAUGGGAACUGAGCUUUCUUUGUGACCUGAAGUAGCCUGCGCACAUGCUCCCGGAAGUCCAUCCAUCCCCCGCUCCUGCCCCCGGUUCUGUGCACCAGCCAGGAAGUGCAUUCCAUCACAGGUUUUAGAUUCUCAGCAGGAAGAAAAGGGGGACUCGUGUGUCCCCCCGGAAAGCCUCACUUCGCAACAUACUGCCCUGGAGAAAAGUCAAGGCCAGAGUCAAAAAUCUAUCUUUUUGUUUUCUAGCAAGAGGGCUUCCACAGGUCGCAUCAGGCGCACAGGAUUACAGGCGCACAACACCACGGCCAGCUGUGAGGUCCUCUCAAAGUCCCAAACCACAGUGACCUGCAUAAGUUCUGCAGUCUAAGGAGUCUUCAAACCCGGAUCACAAGCCAGUGGAUUGAGGACAGAAACCCUCCGCAGAGCCCAGGCCCCGCAGGGCGCUUGGGUCCUCCCUCACGUCUGCCCUGCACCAGCUCUCGGAGCUGGAGCGCUGAAGCUGGAAUCCACAUCUUUACAGACCUUUACAGACCGAAGCUGCACAGGGCCUGGAAACCAUCCAUCCAUCCACACUCAGAUCCUCGGCCACACGGAGCCUUCCGCAAAGACAGAGAGGAAGGCCCAGGCAGUGGGUAGUGGGUAGGUGGGCGGACCUCUCCCAUUCAAACUGGCCUCAGGCCCACCCUGUCCUCCGCCCAAACCAUCCGUGGCUCCCACUGCCAGCCCAGCCCAAUGUGCUGGCCUGGGGUCCAGGUUAGCCUUUGUCCCAGGCGACCUCUCCAGCCCUGUGUCCUCGGCACUCUAAAAACUGAUAAAAACAACCAGGGAAGGCACGGAGGAGCCCAACAGCCCCCACCAGGGAGGAUCGCCCAGGAAACCGCACAGGGAGCCAGUGCCGCCCCCCACGUCCCGGUCCACUGCUGCCUUAGUGCAGAGCCCCCUCCCAAGCCCCUCACUGCCCAGGUUCCCCGCACCGCCUUUCCUCAGCCUGGCCUGCGCUUCACUUAUAAACACACACACCUCUCACUGGGUGUGGUGCACAUGCAUGCCUGCUAUCUCAGCGCUUGGAGGCUGAGUCAGGAGGAUCGCAAUUCCAAACCCAGCCUGAACAACUUAGCCACUAAGAUCCUGUCUCAAAAUAAAAAUAAAAAAUAAAAAAAGACUUGGGAUAUAGCUCAGCAAGAAGCCCUGGGUUCAAUUCCUAGUAGUGCAAAAAAUAAAUACG
rnacentral:lncRNA from 1 species